GAUAAACGCUGGCGGCGUGCAUGAGACAUGCAAGUCGAACGAAGGAUCGGGCUUGCUCGAUCCUUAGUGGCGGACGGCUGAGUAACGCGUAGGUGACCUACCCCGAAGUGGGGAAUAACUGCCCGAAAGGGUGGCUAAUAUCGCAUGUGGUCGCACGUUCAUUCGUGCGAGUAAAGCCGCAAGGCGCUUCGGGAGGGGCCUGCGUCCGAUUAGCUCGUUGGUGGGGUAAUGGCUUACCAAGGCGACGAUCGGUAGGUGGUCUGAGAGGACGAUCACCCAGACUGGGACUGAGACACGGCCCAGACUCCUACGGGAGGCAGCAGUCGGGAAUUUUGCUCAAUGGGGGAAACCCUGAAGCAGCAACGCCGCGUGAGGGAUGAAGGCCUUCGGGUUGUAAACCUCUUUUGUCAGGGACGAUGAUGACGGUACCUGGCGAAUAAGCCACGGCUAACUACGUG
rnacentral:rRNA from 1 species